rnacentral:rRNA from 1 species
UUCCGGUUGAUCCCGCCGGACCUGACUGCUAUCGGAUUGAUACUAAGCCAUGCGAGUCAUUGUAGCAAUACAAGGCAGACGGCUCAGUAACGCGUAGUCAACCUAACCUAUGGACGGGAAUAACCUCGGGAAACUGAGAAUAAUGCCCGAUAGAACACUAUGCCUGGAAUGGUUUGUGUUCCAAAUGAUUUAUCGCCGUAGGAUGGGACUGCGGCCUAUCAGUUUGUUGGUGAGGUAAUGGCCCACCAAGACUAUUACAGGUACGGGCUCUGAGAGGAGUAGCCCGGAGAUGGGUACUGAGACACGGACCCAGGCCCUAUGGGGCGCAGCAGGCGAGAAAACUUUGCAAUGUGCGAAAGCACGACAAGGUUAAUCCGAGUGGUUUCUGCUAAAGGAACCUUUUGUCGGUCCUAGAAACACCGAUGAAUAAGGGGUGGGCAAGUUCUGGUGUCAGCCGCCGCGGUAAAACCAGCACCUCAAGUGGUCAGGAUGAUUAUUGGGCCUAAAGCAUCCGUAGCCUGCUUUGUUAGUUUUCGGCUAAAUCUAUGCGCUCAACGUAUAGGCUGCCGGGAAUACUGCAAAGCUAGGGAGUGGGAGAGGUAGACGGUACUCGGUAGGAAGGGGUAAAAUCCUUUGAUCUAUUGAUGACCACCUGUGGCGAAGGCGGUCUACCAGAACACGUCCGACGGUGAGGGAUGAAAGCUGGGGGAGCAAACCGGAUUAGAUACCCGGGUAGUCCCAGCCGUAAACCAUGCAAACUCAGUGAUGCAUUGGCUUGUGGCCAAUGCAGUGCUGCAGGGAAGCCGUUAAGUUUGCCGCCUGGGAAGUACGUACGCAAGUAUGAAACUUAAAGGAAUUGGCGGGGGAGCACCACAAGGGGUGAAGGCUGCGGUUCAAUUGGAGUCAACGCCGGGAAUCCC